rnacentral:rRNA from 1 species
GACGAACGCUGGCGGCGUGCCUAACACAUGCAAGUGGAGCGACGAACCAGGCUUCGGCCUGGGGCAAAGCCGCGAACGGGUGAGUAACACGUGGGUAACCUGCCCCGAUGACCGGGACAACCCGAGGAAACUCGGGCUAAUACCGGAUGUGCCCUACGGCCAUAAGGCUGCUGGGGAAAGGAAGCUUCGGCCUCCGCAUCGGGAUGGGCCCGCGGCCCAUUAGCUUGUUGGUGAGGUAAUGGCUCACCAAGGCAAUGAUGGGUAGCUGGUCUGAGAG